rnacentral:snRNA from 1 species
GUGCUUGCUUCGGUAGCACAUAUGCUAAAAUUGGAACGAUACAGAGAUUAGCAUGACCACUGCGCAAGGAUGACAGGCAAAUUCAUGAAGUGCUCCAUGUUUUG